rfam:Pristionchus pacificus strain PS312 contig10047, whole genome shotgun sequence.
UCCUCAUUUCCCACACUAUCUCACCGGUCAGAGAGGCGAGAGAGCAUGAACAAUGAGGAGA